UAAGCGACCUACCUCGGUGUGGGGCAUAGCCGGUCUAACGACCGGGUAAUUCCGCAUACGCUCUCGAGAGUGCAUACUCUUGAGAUGAAACCAGUAAUGGGCACUGAGAGGGGCUUGCGGCCUAUCAGCUAGUUGGAGAGGUAACGGCUCACCAAGGCUACGACGGGUAGCUGGUCUGAGAGGAUGGCCAGCCACAUUGGGACUGAGAUACGGCCCAGACUCCUACGGGAGGCAGCAGUGGGGAAUCUUGCGCAAUGGCCUAACGGCUGACGCAGCGACGCCGCGUGAGGGAUGAAGCUCCUCGGAGUGUAAACCUCUGUUGCCCGGGACGAAUAGCGGAUUAUUCCGACUUGACGGUACCGGGUGAGGAAGCACCGGCUAACUCCGUGCCAGCAGCCGCGGUAAUACGGGGGGUGCAAGCGUUGUCCGGAACCACUGGGCGUAAAGGGCGCGUAGGUGGUCUUGUAAGUCUGUGGUGAAAGCCCGGGGCUCAACCCCGGGUCUGCCGUGGAUACUGCGAGACUUGAGUACUGUAGAGGCAGGUAGAAUAUCGGGUGUAGCGGUGGAAUGCGUAGAGAUCCGAUAGAAGACCGGUGGCGAAGGCGGCCUGCUGGGCAGUAACUGACACUGAGGCGCGACAGCGUGGGGAGCAAACAGGAUUAGAUACCCUGGUAGUCCACGCCGUAAACGAUGGGUACUAGGUGCUUGGGGGAGCGACCCCUUGAGUGCCGGCGCUAACGCAGGAAGUACCCCGCCUGGGGAGUACGGCCGCAAGGCUGAAACUCAAAGGAAUUGACGGAAUCGA
rnacentral:rRNA from 1 species